AGAACGACUCUCGGCAACGGAUAUCUCGGCUCUCGCAUCGAUGAAGAACGUAGCGAAAUGCGAUACUUGGUGUGAAUUGCAGAAUCCCGUGAACCAUCGAGUCUUUGAACGCAAGUUGCGCCCGAGGCCUUCGGCUAAGGGCACGCCUGUCUGGGCGUCACGC
rnacentral:rRNA from 2 species